GCGCUGUGGGAGCGGGAAUGCGGCGGGCCCCGCGCCGCGCCGCGACCCCCGGAGCAGCCCCGCAGGCCGCCGGGAGCGCCCCCCCCACCCCAGAAAUGAGCCAUUUACAGGGAUUUUGGCGUCUUCUUGCAAAUCAAAAAAAAAAAAAAAAUUGAGCCAGGAAAACAAUGCGGGUAGAGCUGGGCUGGAAGGCGCCUCGCGGGGCGGGCAGCGGCGGAGCGGGCUCCCGGCAGCUUCGGCCGCGCCGCUCCCCCCCGCCCGCCCCGCCGCCGCCCCGGCUCCGCGCCCCCGCGCCCGGGGCAGGGGCAGGGGCAGCGGCGGGGGCGAGGGCAGGGGGUCCCGCGCCGGGGGCGAGGCGGCAGAGAGCGCUCUCCCUCCGUGCCUCCGGGAGCCCGCCGCAGAAGCCAAGUGAAGAGGAUAACUGAUUCUCAUGUGGCAAGGCUGAUGUUCAAGGCCAACUACUGUACGAAAAAUAGUGACUUGCUGCCUAAGCCUGGCUUGCCUUGGAGCGCGGGCUGGUGCACGCUGUAAAAGUGGAGCCGAAGUGCAGCCGGACGAGCAGGCAGUGGGAGACCUUUAGGCAAAAACCGGCUUAAGGAGAUACACUAUAUGAGCAGGAACAAAGAGCUUUGUUCUCACUAAAGGGAAAAAAAUAACCAUAAAGUUACUUUUCCUAGAAAUUCUAACAACCCUGUGAGUAAACUGCACUCCAGUAAUUCGGGACCUAUACACUGUCUAUUAAGGCAGGCUUACAAAGAAAAACGUAAACAGUGUUGUGCUUUAUUUUGAGUCAUCUGAAUGAACGGGAAGGUUGCAGGUAUAGUGUAAAGCAGUGCUUGCUUUAGCUCGACUGUCUCAAAUUAAGACUGGUUUCUAAAAAUAGGUACUUCUGUUUGUACAUAAAGUUGGCUAGACCUGUGUGCAUAUGCAGACCAUGCAGCCAUAAAAUAUAAAUUUAUCUCACUGAUUCAAAACUUGUAAUGUUUUAUAUACCCUUAUGUUCAUCACCUCCAAUUAAAAGAAUGAGGAUAUUACUGUGUAAUUCAUAUAUAUAUAUUUGCUGACAAAUUACAGAAAUAAAAUACAUUUGAAUAAAUAGCAAAAA